GUCGUGAGAUGUUGGGUUAAGUCCCGCAACGAGCGCAACCCUUGUCCUUAGUUGCCAUCAUUAAGUUGGGCACUCUAAGGAGACCGCCGGUGACAAACCGGAGGAAGGUGGGGAUGACGUCAAGUCAUCAUGGCCUUUAUGACCAGGGCUACACACGUGCUACAAUGGUAGAUACAGAGGGAAGCCAACGCGCGAGCGGGAGCUAAUCCCAGAAAAUCUAUCGUAGUCCGGAUUGGAGUCUGCAACUCGACUCCAUGAAGUCGGAAUCGCUAGUAAUCGCAGAUCAGCAUUGCUGCGGUGAAUACGUUCCCGGGUCUUGUACACACCGCCCGUCACACCAUGGGAGUUGAUUGCACCAGAAGCAGGUAGCCUGACCGCAAGGAGGGCGCCUACCACGGUGUGGUCAAUGACUGGGGUGAAGUCGUAACAAGGUAGCCGUACGGGAACGUGCGGCUGGAUCACCUCCUUUCAAGAGACCGCACGACAGACACAAGAUGCGAGUUCCCAGCACAAGUUACCUGCUCAUAUCCAGGCGGCGGCCCGCCGCGCUCGGUACUGAAUGUGGGCUGCAGAUGUUUGGGUCUGUAGCUCAGUUAGUUAGAGCGCACCCCUGAUAAGGGUGAGGUCGGGGGUGCAACUCCUCCCAGACCCACCAAACAUAUAGCCAACAUAACAGUGUGGGUUUGUGUUUCGGGGAGGGGCCAUAGCUCAGCUGGGAGAGCACCUGGUUUGCAACCAGGGGGUCGUCGGUUCGAUCCCGACUGGCUCCACCACUCCCUCCAUACCUGCCGCCUGGCGCGCACGAUUCCACAUUCUGUGGGGCGCGAUGAUUCGAGCUCAUCUGCAAGGGUGCGUUCGAUUGAUCGCGCGGGGCUUCACGCCUCGUGUGUUCUUUAACAAUCCGGAAAAGUUUUUUGUUUUGACGCUAAGUUUUCAAGCGAAAUUGAUUAAUUGCGCACCGCGAGGUGCGACCUUUAAGAGUUCGAUUGAGAAUGUUGCGUUCGCAUAGAACGAUAGAAUCAGCUAAAGGCUCGUUGGGUAACUGACGAGCAACAUAUACCCAGACUCCUUUGGGUUAUAUGGUCAAGCGAAUAAGCGCACAUGGUGGAUGCCUUGGCGGUAGAAGGCGAUGAAGGACGUGGUAGCCUGCGAUAAGUGUCGGCGAGCUGGCAAACGAGCUUUGACCCGGCAAUUU
rnacentral:sRNA from 1 species